rnacentral:snRNA from 1 species
AUACUUACCUGGCAGGGGUGACUCCAUGAUCAAGCAGGUGGAUCACCUAGAGCGAGGAUCAGCCAUUGCACUUCGGCUUUCUGACCUCUAUGAAUUCUCCACAUGUGGGCAUAAUAAAAUGCCUCCUUAUUUUAUAAUAAAACAAACCAAAUUAGAACAAUGUAUUUUGUU